rnacentral:tRNA from 1 species
AAAGAAAUACAAUUAAAAGCUUCUAACUUUUUAAAGAGCAGUCAAUGUUCAUAUUUCUA